rnacentral:rRNA from 1 species
GGUUAAGCGACUAAGCGUACACGGUGGAUGCCCUGGCAGUCAGAGGCGAUGAAGGGCGUGCUAAUCUGCGAUAAGCGCCGGUAAGGUGAUAUGAACCGUUAUAACCGGCGAUACCCGAAUGGGGAAACCCAGUGUGACUCGUCACACUAUCAUUAACUGAAUCCAUAGGUUAAUGAGGCGAACCGGGGGAACUGAAACAUCUAAGUACCCCGAGGAAAAGAAAUCAACCGAGAUUCCCCCAGUAGCGGCGAGCGAACGGGGAGGAGCCCAGAGCCUGAAUCAGCAUGUGUGUUAGUGGAAGCGUCUGGAAAGGCGCGCGAUACAGGGUGACAGCCCCGUACACAAAAGCGCAUGUGCUGUGAGCUCGAUGAGUAGGGCGGGACACGUGGUAUCCUGUCUGAAUAUGGGGGGGACCAUCCUCCAAGGCUAAAUACUCCUGACUGACCGAUAGUGAACCAGUACCGUGAGGGAAAGGCGAAAAGAACCCCGGCGAGGGGAGUGAAAAAGAACCUGAAACCGUGUACGUACAAGCAGUGGGAGCACCCUUUGGGUGUGACUGCGUACCUUUUGUAUAAUGGGUCAGCGACUUAUAUUCUGUAGCAAGGUUAACCGAAUAGGGGAGCCGGAGGGAAACCGAGUCUUAACCGGGCGUUAAGUUGCAGGGUAUAGACCCGAAACCCGGUGAUCUAGCCAUGGGCAGGUUGAAGGUUGGGUAACACUAACUGGAGGACCGAACCGACUAAUGUUGAAAAAUUAGCGGAUGACCUGUGGCUGGGGGUGAAAGGCCAAUCAAACCGGGAGAUAGCUGGUUCUCCCCGAAAGCUAUUUAGGUAGCGCCUCGUGAAUUCAUCUCCGGGGGUAGAGCACUGUUUCGGCUAGGGGGCCAUCCCGGCUUACCAACCCGAUGCAAACUGCGAAUACCGGAGAAUGUUAUCACGGGAGACACACGGCGGGUGCUAACGUCCGUCGUGAAGAGGGAAACAACCCAGACCGCCAGCUAAGGUCCCAAAGUCAUGGUUAAGUGGGAAACGAUGUGGGAAGGCCCAGACAGCCAGGAUGUUGGCUUAGAAGCAGCCAUCAUUUAAAGAAAGCGUAAUAGCUCACUGGUCGAGUCGGCCUGCGCGGAAGAUGUAACGGGGCUAAACCAUGCACCGAAGCUGCGGCAGCGACACUGUGUGUUGUUGGGUAGGGGAGCGUUCUGUAAGCCUGCGAAGGUGGCCUGUGAGGGUUGCUGGAGGUAUCAGAAGUGCGAAUGCUGACAUAAGUAACGAUAAAGCGGGUGAAAAGCCCGCUCGCCGGAAGACCAAGGGUUCCUGUCCAACGUUAAUCGGGGCAGGGUGAGUCGACCCCUAAGGCGAGGCCGAAAGGCGUAGUCGAUGGGAAACGGGUUAAUAUUCCCGUACUUGGUGUUACUGCGAAGGGGGGACGGAGAAGGCUAUGUUGGCCGGGCGACGGUUGUCCCGGUUUAAGCGUGUAGGUGUGUGUUCCAGGUAAAUCCGGUUCACUUUAACACUGAGGCGUGACGACGAGGCACUACGGUGCUGAAGCAACAAAUGCCCUGCUUCCAGGAAAAGCCUCUAAGCAUCAGGUAACAUCAAAUCGUACCCCAAACCGACACAGGUGGUCAGGUAGAGAAUACCAAGGCGCUUGAGAGAACUCGGGUGAAGGAACUAGGCAAAAUGGUGCCGUAACUUCGGGAGAAGGCACGCUGACACGUAGGUGAAGUGAUUUACUCAUGGAGCUGAAGUCAGUCGAAGAUACCAGCUGGCUGCAACUGUUUAUUAAAAACACAGCACUGUGCAAACACGAAAGUGGACGUAUACGGUGUGACGCCUGCCCGGUGCCGGAAGGUUAAUUGAUGGGGUCAGCGCAAGCGAAGCUCCUGAUCGAAGCCCCGGUAAACGGCGGCCGUAACUAUAACGGUCCUAAGGUAGCGAAAUUCCUUGUCGGGUAAGUUCCGACCUGCACGAAUGGCGUAAUGAUGGCCAGGCUGUCUCCACCCGAGACUCAGUGAAAUUGAACUCGCUGUGAAGAUGCAGUGUACCCGCGGCAAGACGGAAAGACCCCGUGAACCUUUACUAUAGCUUGACACUGAACAUUGAGCCUUGAUGUGUAGGAUAGGUGGGAGGCUUUGAAGUGUGGACGCCAGUCUGCAUGGAGCCGACCUUGAAAUACCACCCUUUAAUGUUUGAUGUUCUAACGUGGACCCGUUACCCGGGUUGCGGACAGUGUCUGGUGGGUAGUUUGACUGGGGCGGUCUCCUCCUAAAGAGUAACGGAGGAGCACGAAGGUUGGCUAAUCCUGGUCGGACAUCAGGAGGUUAGUGCAAUGGCAUAAGCCAGCUUGACUGCGAGCGUGACGGCGCGAGCAGGUGCGAAAGCAGGUCAUAGUGAUCCGGUGGUUCUGAAUGGAAGGGCCAUCGCUCAACGGAUAAAAGGUACUCCGGGGAUAACAGGCUGAUACCGCCCAAGAGUUCAUAUCGACGGCGGUGUUUGGCACCUCGAUGUCGGCUCAUCACAUCCUGGGGCUGAAGUAGGUCCCAAGGGUAUGGCUGUUCGCCAUUUAAAGUGGUACGCGAGCUGGGUUUAGAACGUCGUGAGACAGUUCGGUCCCUAUCUGCCGUGGGCGCUGGAGAACUGAGGGGGGCUGCUCCUAGUACGAGAGGACCGGAGUGGACGCAUCACUGGUGUUCGGGUUGUCAUGCCAAUGGCACUGCCCGGUAGCUAAAUGCGGAAGAGAUAAGUGCUGAAAGCAUCUAAGCACGAAACUUGCCCCGAGAUGAGUUCUCCCUGAGACUUAGAGUCUCCUGAAGGAACGUUGAAGACGACGACGUUGAUAGGCCGGGUGUGUAAGCGCAGCGAUGCGUUGAGCUAACCGGUACUAAUGAACCGUGAGGCUUAACCUU